UUUUUUUUUUUUUUUUGUCUUUUUUAGGGCCGCACUCACAGCAUAUGGGGGUUCCCAGGCUAGGGGUUGAAUCAUACCUAUAGCUGCUGGCCUAUACCACAGCCACAGCAACACCAGAUCCAAGCCACAUCUGCAACCUACACCACAGCUCACAGCAACACCGAUCCUUAACCCAUUGAGCAAGGCUUGGGAUCCAACCUGCAUCCUCACGGAUACUAGAUUCAUUUCUGCUGAGCCACAACAGGAACUCCCUAAGGCUUGGUCUUCAACCAAGUGUGGAGUAUCUGCUAUGUGCAAGGCACUAUGCUAGAUGCUGAUAAGCUCACUUCUACUGAGAAAGAGAGAAACGUGAAUAGUUGUGAGUGUUACCUGAGAAGUGAUGUAAUAGGAAUAGGAGUGAGUCAUUUCCAAGGGACCCCAAGGUAGGGAAUCUCCACUUCUCUAGUAGUGGAGAGGGGAGGCACAUGGAUAGGAUCUUGAAGGUCUAAUGCCAAGAUCAUGCUUGAGCUUUCUCCUGCUCUUUGCAAUAAGAUUGAUUAGCAUUUUCCAUGUGCUUAAGCUCACUUUAUUAAAAGUAAAAAAAAAUCACUUUUUGAUGUUUAGCUUCAGUUUUGAGAAUUUAAUUAUGAAAAAAGCAUUAUCAUCAAAACUGUGUGAAUUUUUAGCAGAUCAUCAAGCCUAUCUGUGUCUCAGGUUCUUCCAAGGGUGCUUAGAAAGACUGUAUGAGUUAAAAUAUAUACAGUUAAAAUAUAUGCAGAACCAGGCCCUGCACUACAUGCUAUGAUUGCCUUGCCUUCCAUCCCAGGGGACACCAUUAGUGGAAAUUGGGUAUGAAUGAGCCACGGCAGCAAUUCAGACACCUGCUGUUUCCAGAUCCUGCCCCUGGGAGCCUCUGGAACCAGGUCCAGACUCAGUGAGCUAGGGUCUGUGGUUGCAGCUUGUACCACAGUUAACCUACAGCGCUGCUGUGAGCAUUGCUGUGGGAUAUCCUCUAGGUAUAUAAACGUGAUGCUUACUGUCUCUCAAAAGACAACCCUGUAGCCUAUGGGCUUGUUUUUGUUUGCCAAAGGUCAGCAAUUGUCUCAUUUGCUAAAACACAUAAACAAAAAGUCCAUCCUGCAAAGCAUUGCUCUCAAGAGUUGAGGCGCGUGUUUAAGCAAAUCAGGUAACAGUAACAAUCCAUCACAGCCACUGUCAAAGCCUGCUGAGCUUGUGACUGGGCUUGGGAAGGUUCUGCAAAGAGAUGACACACCUCACUUGGUCUCAGGUCUUUGGGAUUCGCUGUCAUCACCAAAGAGGAGGGGCCAGCAAAGUCCCACCAAAGAGCCUGGGACAGGUUGGCUGUGAGUGGAAAUUUGGAUUUCAGAACAGAACAGUAGCUGGGAACUUAGAGCCAAAAUCUCACUCCCAAGGAGGCUCUAGUGCAUUAAAGACCCACCAGGAAACAUGUAGGAUGGAAAAACCAAGAGCCAGCUGGUCCCAGGUAUUGGGGGUGGCCGCAUACAAGCCGACGUGGGAAGCAGACAGCGUUUGUCUGGCACUCCGAAUGCAGAGUGUCUCCAAGUUCUCACAGCGAGAGGGAGCUGGGAGAAAGCUGUCUGGGAUAUGCCAUGGCAAAAGGAGUUCAAAACUGUUUUCAUGCCCAUAGGAGCACAGUAGGCUCUGCAGCUGCUCUAUCUCUGUGCCUCCAAAGAUGUCAUUUUUCCUCCCCCUUCCCCAGGAUUUUAUCCCCUAGAGGAGUCCCCCUGUUUACAGCUGCCCUUCCAAACCCUCCCUGGGACUUGAUAUAUGAAUCAUGCCCCUGCUCAAAGACCUUCACAACUGCCCCCAAACAUACAGAAUAGAGCCCAAAUCCUCAGCUCAGCAUCCAAGGGAGCUUACCCUGUUCUGGCCCUUAGGUCUCACCUCUUCCUCUGCUCCAUGCUUUAACCACAGCACACGUGUUCACUGCAGAUGAACCCCCAUUCACUUUCUCUGAGCCUUGCCUGAUGCUAUUUCCUCCGCCUGAAAGCUUUCCUUGCCCUUCCCUCCUCCUAAGCUUGUCAUUCCUUAGACAAGAUUUUCUUUGACUGGUAUGUCUAUUCUAUGGCAGACACUUUUCUGAUACUGUUUGAAAUGGCUGUGGUGGCAGAUUUCAAGGAAGACCCCUUCUCCUCCUUGAACCCAUGCCCCCUCACCUGUGACUUAGAGUGCCCUCCCAUCCUGAGGCUCAGAUCAGUCAUGUGAUGGGUUUUGGCCAGUGGGAUAUUAGCGAAUAUGAUGCAGGCAGACGCUGAAAGUCACUUGUACUCUUUUUGUUUCUCUUGGAAACCUUCUGCCUCUGUGUGAAUGAGCCUUGACUAGCCUGCUGGAGGCUAAGAAGGCUUGUGAAACAGAGACGGUGGCUCAGCUGAGGGCCCUAGACCAGUCAGCCUCAACUGGACCACACAUCUAUUCACAGAUGCAUGAGUGAGCCCAAAUUGCCAGCCACAGAAUCUUGUGCUAAAAUAAAUAGCGGUUGUUUUUAAGUUACAUGCUUAGGCUGGUUUCUUAAACACACUAGAUACCUAAUGCAGCCAUGGAUUGGUCUUAUCAGUCUAAUCUCUCUUCCCCUUUCUGUUGGUACUAGCAACCUGCUUUUAUAUUGACCAACACCCUCCAUUCUCAGUCUGUGCUACAUAAUUCUGCUGAAGCUGACCUGCUCUUCUGACUCCAGGGAUGGUCAUUCAGUGUAUCUCUGGCCACCAGGAUGGGCACAUGGCUCAAAUGGUCUAAGAAGACUUAGAUCUGGGAUUUUGUUGUAAUUCUUGGAAUAAUGCUGUUUUUCCAGCAGGGUGGCUAAGCCAGGAGAAGGUCAGCCUUGAGUGCUCACACAGCUCACACAGAAGAGAGAAGGACUAAGACAGUGAGUCCUGCUGACACGAGUCCCUGGAUCAGCCUGUGCCUGCAGGCAGAUUCAUCUCUCCCUUGAUUCUUCAGUUAUACAAACAGAAAAAAAAAUCCUCUAUUUCUGUUUAAGCCAGUAUGAGUGGGGUCUCUGUUAUUUACAGUGUCAAAUUUCUGACUGAGACACUCUUCAGAUACUCAAAGAAACUUCAUCUCCUGGCAAGAAUGGAAUUUCCUGUAGAUUUGUGUGGUGGUCAAGAAUACUAACUUUGGGUUGGAGAGACUUGACCUCAGACUCUGGGUUUUUCGUUUGCUACACGUAGGUACCACAUAACCCAUGUUACAUCUCCAAGCCUGGAUGGAAUGUCUGCUUUAACAUCACACACCACACAGGGUUGUUGUGAAGAGUAAAUGAAACUCUGUGUGUGAAUCACGUGGUACACGUUUAGCAAUUGCUAUUUAAAAAAACCCCUGAAACUAUUUCAAUUAUUCUGUACUCUCCUGCUGGCAAGAAUAAUGGCUUCAAUGGCUCUGUACACAUUAUUUGUUAUGUCUUACAUUUCUUUCUGUUCUCAGACCAGUGCACAGGGCUUUAAACAUAGUCGAUACACAUAUUUAAUAUGUGCGUUCUUUGGGCAAAGAAUUUGCUGUUUCAUCCAAACACUCGUGAUGACUUUCUUCCUGGUCAUCCAGUCAUUCUGAGGUAGGAAAAUGGCUGAUGUUGAGAAGGGGUCAGGCUGGAGGCUCAAUCACCUAGCGUAAUUUUCCAGUUUUCUCCUUUGGAAUCCAAUGGGAACAUAAAAUAUUAUCAUCUUUGCCAGUAGGGUAGCUUGGUGCUGGCACAGAAUGGAGGCUCCACAAGUGGUCAUGGUCUUCCUUCCUCUGAGCUCUGGGAGUGAGGAAGGCAACCCUAUCCCUUUCCAGGCAGCAGCUCCUCUUCUGCUGGCCAGCUGACUAGAAAUUGCCCAGAAGGCCAACAGCCUUCUUUCCUUGUUGCAAAUAACAUCAUUUCAUCCGGGUGGACAGAGGAACUCAGUGGAAUGUAUAUUUGUCCCUGAUCUCUGGUUUCUGAUUGUCACUCAGGAUGUGCCCAGCAGGCAGCCUGCUGUGUUCUAAGCACCACAGCCAGAUGAUAAAUCUUUGAUUUUUGCUCUCCUCUUUGGCUCGGGAAUAAUGGGUCCAUAAUGAAUUGCAUCCAUAAGAAUAGCUGUAAUUGUAACAGUGUUGCAGAGGGAACUGGCAAAUCAGCUCGACCGUGGAAAUGUGCCUACUUUGUUCCUAUCACUUUCUUUGGAAUGGUGACCAACUUGGUUUUUCCAUCCCAAACUUUUAAUAAGCAGCAGGCUUUCUGUGAGAAGAGGAAAAUAAAAGCCAUACAUCUGGGAGGUUUUAUUCUUGGUUUGUUUGCUUAAUUCUCUUGUCCGCACAAUUUCCCUUACAAAAAAAUUUCCCUCAGGGAAAAAAAAAAAAA
rnacentral:lncRNA from 1 species